UACAUAAAAGUAAUACUCUCUCUUCACUCUUUCUAUUCAACCGAAUUAAAUGAAAUAUAUUUCAAAUCAUUUUUUAUCUUCUCUUACUCUUUUAUCUCUAUCGUACCAAACAUCCUAUAAAAUUUACUCUAUCUCUCACCUCAUUAUCUCUACUCAUCUUCUCGCCUAAAAUCCCUACCUGUGCGUUUCUAUCUUGGAGCCGUUCUCUUGACUUUUGCUCUUCCUUGGCGUUACUCUCAAUGUCGUUUCACAGUCCUAGGGUAGAAAAUAAAGUUCGUCGAGCUUUCCCUUAUGUUGCAGCAGCCGUUUAAUCAGAGGCAGAUACAUGGAAUUUCUGAAUCAUAGAAGAUCCCGAGCCAAAUCACCGAGAAAUGAAAUCCAUGGGAUUCCUUCCUAUCUCAACCCUAGCGGACAUUGUGGUUGGUUUUUCAUCUGUGUUGGUUAUUCAAUUUCAGAUUAAGAAGUCAAAGACCUCUGAAACUGAAAUGAAGUUGGGGUUUUCAAAGAACCAGAUGAUUCUAUCCUGAGACAAAGAAUGACUUCAGCCACCAGCUUAGUAAACAAUUUAAUUAAUUGUGAGGUGCAAAUCAGAACUGGCGUGAAUAAGAUUCUUACAUGCUGGAUUAUGAGGUUUAUCGUGAAAUGCUUGAAUUAGUGUGGCAGCCUCUCAUGUAAAAACUUUUACAGAACUACAUACUAAUAGAGUUGGGCAGCCGCAGCUUGGACAUGGAUCCUAUCUACAUACAGUAUGGACAAACACCAAAUGGGAAGUCAUUUUAGGGUCCAAAACCAGAAGUUUAAAAUUAGUAAGCGCUAUCGAAUUGUCAAAAGGGAAUAUGCAGUGCCCCAAGUAACACUUUCAGCCAUCAGAUAAAAAGCUCUCAUUGCUGCUUUUCAAGUUUUGAUGUCUGAUCUUUCUUUGUGAGUUUUCUUGGGAAUGUGUACUUUCUUCUUACUAGAUACAUUCAGAUGGAGAAAACCAUUGCUUUCAAGAGUGCACCUUUUUUCCUUCAUGAGCCUGUUGCUGAGUCCCUUGCAUGUGGUGGCUGCUUCAAGCCGUGAAGAUUGCUAAUCAGAAUAGUUGCUCUAGAGGAUGACUUAUUCUUUCAAAAUGAAAGCCAAAUAUUUAAGUUCAAAAAACAAAAUGUCCUCCCUCUAACUAUUCAAACAGGUGAAGACUUUGAGGGGUGUUCAUCUUCCAACUUUUGCACAAUUUUAUUCUGCUGCAGUAUAUUACACAUUUACACUUAUAUUGGUCUUUUGAUUCUACUCUAUGAAUAUCAACAUAAGGUAUAUCGCUUAUACUGGAGGGCUCUUCUACCUCUGUGAAACGAACUUAUCUUUCAGCUGAACUUUAUUUUGUGACUUUUUAAUUUCUGAGGUAGGAGAAGGAACUCAUUUCGUUAGAUUUCUUUUGUGCGGUGAGGAGGAGGAACAUGGCGGUGGUUAUGAUCAUCUUAAAAUGGAACAUAGUGCAUUUGGUCAUUUGGAGGUGGUGGUGCUGAUGCUAAUUUUCCUGUGACACCAAACAUGGUUUCUGAUUUUGCAACACCAUCUUAUGGUGGUGACAGUUUUUCUCUCAAGAGAAGGAGGGAAGAUGGUGGUUUCUCAUGCAGAGUUUCAUCCCCUGUUAUCCCCCCAAGUUUUUGGGUUUGAAAUGAGGGAAAAUUCCUUUGAGGGCCAUACCCAGAGUUUCUGAAAGGAUUAAGAAAAUGUGCAUGGAACAGACGGAAGCAUAUGUGAAGCGUAGCCACUCAUGCAAAAAGUCCAGAAUGAGAUUCACACUCCUUCUCAGAAUGGAAGAUGACACAGCAAAAGAGAGAACUGUAGAAAGUAGAGUUUAGCCUGCAUGUUUGAUGUUUGGUUUGAGUUGUCACCUUGAAGUUAUUUCUAAGUGAUCUCACAAUAGCAUUCAGGAUAGAAAUUUUAGACAUAGAAAGUGGUUCCCCAUUAUCACCAAUCUCAUUUUCAUCAGGAACUUCAUUUAACUAUUUCAUUGGCUGCUUCGGUACCAAGAGAGUCAAGACAUCUUUCUUUGAGCACAAUAGAAUUUUGUAGUUCAGGAACUGUAUUUUCACUACCAUUUUGUAAAAUUUCCAUAGAACCAUACUUACCAUUAAGAUAACUUGAUUCUUUUCCAACCAA